ensembl:lncRNA
GAGCAAGUAGAGCAAGUGAUGACGCUGGUCUUUGAUAUUUCCCUCCCGGAACCCUCGAACUUAGUCUGAAAACGGGGGGAAUCUUUUCAGAGACGAACAACAUGGCUGCGCGUGUAGUGCAGUCUAAAAACAGCGAAUUAAAUUCAUAUUUCCGCCGUUUAGGACUUAACUACCGAGACACUCAUACGUUCGCUAUUGAAAUGCUCUCGCGCACACCAGAUGUCCGGAUUUAUGUCGGACCGUGUUUCAUUAGUACGCGUUUACGUUACGUAAGAGUGUCUCUCUAAACGGCCCCUCAUAUUUAUGGUUGAUAUGAUUCAGUGGUUGGUGCUUGGUUUCCAAUAAAUCUGGCACGUUUGCCUGAGUGAAAUGUUACGAAUAUCGCAGUAAUCGCCGUGGACGCUCUCGCUGCUUCGUGUCUCGCUUCCACCGAUAAAUAUAUAUAUAUAUUUGCAUCGCGUUACGCUUAAUUUGUUGCACUAAUUUGCGUCGGAUAUUUUCUAACUCUUUUAAUACUUGUUGGAGUUGUGUUUGCAGCAUUUUUGAACGGAUAUGUUUUAUGUUUUAACUUAGACGACCGUUUCUGUGGCUGUGAGGUUAUGUUUGUUUGUGACGAGUGCCUCUUAAAACAGGGGUCUUCAGGCCAAGGACCCCCAAACUGACGGCGAGCUGGGGCAGGGACCCCCUGUUCUACGGCCUUUGGAAGGAGCUGCGAGUGGACCGGUGCUGCUGUGGGAAGCUGAAUGUGUGCGUUGCAGACUGAAGGAUAACGUCUU